rnacentral:tRNA from 1 species
GGGGUUGUAGCUUAGUGGUUGAGCGCUCGCCUGGCACUUGAGAGACCCUGGGUUCAAUUCUUAGCACCA